CUCUUAAUCUACUGCCUACCUUACCUUGUGCUAUGUGGCCAUUGCUUCUUAGCACAAGUAAUAAUUAAAAAAGUAUCUUAUUUUCAUAGACCAGAUAUGUGUGUUGAUGAUAUUAUCUAAGGUGUUUCAAAAAUUCGAAAUAUGGUUAAAUAAAACCCUAGAAUGUGGUUUGGUUCUAUAGUUUAGAUGGUUCAAUUCUCAUUUUAGAAAUAGAAAAUUGAGGAUGUUUGGCUUUGGUAUUUACUCUCUGCUUUAUAUAUUGAAUCUCCAUUAUUCUAUUUUGAGAUGUUUAAGAAUCCAUUUAUCUUUUUUUUCAUAUAUUAUUUAAGUAACAUUCAACCAAAUAAAAAAUUAAAUGUAAUAAUUACUAUGUUAAAAUUAAAAAUUCAGUAAAAAGUAAAUGUUAUGAUUGUGUUUCCUUAAAAAUUAAAUUGAAUUCUCCGAAAAAGACCUUCAAUAUAGGACUAAGUGAAUAUAUAUUAAAACUUGAAUGCUUCGUUACGUUUAUGCUAUGGAAUGUUUAUAUUAUCACCCUCUCGAUAACCAUAGUAAUAUUCUUAUCUCACAUUAUUCUAACGAUGAACACAAAAUAAUAGAGACAAGUUUAGAGACGAUGUAUAGAAUUAAAAGGGUGAGAAAAUUUGCAAUAUUUAGUUAAUUUUUUUAAAUUCAAUUUUACAAAGUUAUUUUUCAAAAUUUAUUUGAUUGACUAUUGAAAACACGCUCUCUAUAAUUUUUUUCAAGAAAAAACUCAAUUUUUAGCAUAAAUUAAAAUAUACCAUAUUUAAACUGUCAAAAACCAUUCCCACUGGAGGAUAAAUAAUAUAUGUUAUCUAACACGUUUUCUCUGUAAUGUUGUCAACAAUAAUAUACGAAAAGACAAAGUAUAUUUAAGAGCCCCCACUAUGCUUGUGUUUCUCUCUCGUCGCAAUAAUUACUUAUUAAAGUACGAGAAAAGACAAAGUACACGUGAGAUAGGAAAACGACUACUCUAACAAUUUAGGUCUCAUUUGGCUGGAGGAUUUGGAGGGGUAUAAUUUUUUUCCCGGAUAACUUUUUUCUCGGAAUGUUUGGCUAGCGGAUAUGCCCCCGGAUAAGUUAUGCCCCCGAAGGUAGAUAAUUUUUGGGUUGCCUAGACCCCUAACUAAAAAUUAUCCGGGGGAUAAGGGAUACCGCCCCCCUCUCUCCCCCGCCCCCCCCUGUCUCCUUUCUCGUCUCCUCUAUCUACAUCUCUCAGCCCUGCCCACUCUUUUUCCUCUAUCCCUCUUUUCUCUUUUCUUUUCUCUCAUUCCUUUUCUUCCUUCCUCCUAACCUACCUUAUCCACUCAUUCUAAAAAAGUAUCCAAAACAAAAGUUAAAAGUUAUCCCAUCCAAAGUUAUCACCUCUAAAAAGUUUCCUCCCCUAAAAAUUAUGCUGCCUCCCUUAUCCUCAGCCAAACGGGCCCUUGGGGUAAGGUAAAUGUUACGUAGUACGUACCCCCACCAAUUGAAAUAACACCGACACCCAUAGUUAUGAAAACGGACGAACCGGCAGGUUCAACCGGUUCAAUCGAAACUGGGCACUAAAUCGGUUCGGACACAACAUUUUAUCGCAUCGGAAAAAUGCAAGCCAACCGGAUUGAACCGGUUUGAAUCGGCCGAUUUUUUUUUUUUAACAGAAAAAAUAAAGUUUUAAUUUUUACAGUUUGACCCAAAAAUUUUAAUUAAAGUUUUACUUUUUACAAUGACCCCAAAAUUUGAAUUAAAUUAUUUUUUUAAUCGUUUUCUAAAUUAAUUUUUACUAUGAAUGGGUAAUAAAAAAAUUUUUUUUUUUUUUAUAAUAAAAAUAUAAUUUUAUUAUAUUAAUUAUAAAUCCGGUUGAACCGUGGUUGUUUGAACCCAAGGGAACCGUGUGAACCAGUAUUUUGACCGGUUCAAUGUCCGGUUCGGUUCUGAUAACUAUGCCGCGACACCCCUUAAUAUCUGAAAAGGGUAAUGCUAUGAGUACAUUCAAUUUACACCCUAAAUGCAUAUUUGAUGAGGUGGAGUAUUUAAAUUGGUUGGGUGUGGGGUCCACACAGUCCUUUCACCCCACACAUAGCCAAUCUAAAUACUUCAUCUCAUCAGGGGUGCAAGUUGGAUGUACCAUAGCAUUUCUCAUAUCUGAAAACGGUAAAUUUUGACUGACCUCGCAUGAUAUUUUUGAAUCAAAAUCCAACACGUGUACAUUAGUCCAAUUCCUAUUUAAUGGGCUAUUGGGGCCAUAGCCCCUGCAUGUUUCCUCUCGCUGCAUCCACAUGGAGACUGAUCUAAUGUCCCUUUCUUAUCUGUCCUUUCUUUCUUUUUUCAUUAAUUCAAAAGAGGUGAUCAGAUGUGGCGCACCCAUUGUAAUACCAUGGGAGCGUCCCUGAGGGCUCACUACAAUCACAUAAUUUUUUUCAAAUUAUGUCUUAUUUAUUUUUGAAAUCACUCAGCCACAAAAUAUGUGGCUGUGGUGAGGCCACGGAGGGCGCUCCCAUGAUAUUAUCACGGACACGCACCUAUCUGAUCACCACUCUUAAUUUAAUGCGAUGCUCGGAAAAGGUACAAUGGAGUCUUACACGAAUCUCGUAAGUGUUUGCAAUAGUUUAUCUCCUUUAAUUCAUAAACCAUAUAUAAUACUUUAUAUACCGAAGGCAUUAUGAAAUCUAAAAUAUUCCUAAAAUUAUAAUUUAGGUUCGAGUCAAAAAAUUCACAACUACGACCUACAAGCUGAUGAGAUACCAACAUACAUACACCACAAUCAUAUGGUCCUCACUGAUCUCUCUUCUCGACGCCUACACAUGCAUUAUAUGCGCAUAAAAUAUUUGAAGUGUUAAACUAAUCCCAUAUCAAAUAGUUUUGGGAAUACUCCACCUCAUGCUAAUGAUCUUUACUUUACAAUAACAAUUUGUACUACUACAAACAAUUCGCCUUGCUAGAUGCAUUAAAUUGAACUUUCAAGUUCCAAAUUUCUAUUUUGGGAAUUAAAAAGCUUUUUUAAUUGUGCUAUCUGAAAUGACCUUUGGUUUUAACACAUGUAAUAAUUAAAAAAUAUCUUAGCUUUAUCGCCAAAUAUGUGUGUUGAUGAUAUUAUCUAGGGGUGUCUGAAAAUUUAAAAAAAAAACGAUAAAUCAGAUCAAACCAAAUUGGAUCGAACCGUAUGGCUGGUGUGGUCCGGUUCUACGAUUUAGAUUGUUUCAAUACUAAUUUUAAAAAAUAUUAAAUUGGUCUAUAUAGUUCAGUCUUAGUUCUUUAUUUCAGAAUUGUGGUUCAAAAUAAACUGGGCCUGUUUUGUUAAGAACAGAGUUCUGUAACUGGAAUUGAUAUUGCUGAUAGCUGGAAGAAGAAAGAAGAAAAUAGAUUUCCCUAUUCGAGCUAGGGAUAAAGCUCUUAAAAGAACCAAGUAAAGACGGAAUUUUUCAUUCCCUUCUGAAUCAAUGUUACAUUCUUUAUAUUGCUGGACGUUUGACAAGAAUUCAAGGAAUGAUAUCUAACAGUUUUAAACACUAACUGAAUUAACCCAUUCUUGAUAUUGCCCAUGCUUCAGUUAUCUGUUAGCAUAGUUAUUUUGCCAUGCUUUACAUCAUGUUCCUGUCUUUUAAGUCUUAAUCUUUCAUUCAUUCUGGCCUUUUGAUACUCCUUCUUGUUCUAUCAUCCGCUACAAAGCUGUUCUCUCCUACUACCACUGCAUUCGUAACAUGUUUACGUACAUACAUAGCGUGUAUGUGUAAGUUAAACCCAUCCUAACCUUCCUAAUUUAUUUUAUAUUGAGGUAUCAUUACUUAUUGUUUGAUGUUGUAUGAAUUUUUUGGGUUUUCGAUUUUUGCGGUUGUUAUGCUUAGUUUUUUCUAAAGUGGAAUGUUGUCAUGUUAUUUUAAAAUGUAGAUAGUUUAGAAUUUAAAUGUCAGGUAUAAAAUUUAGGAUGUUUGCCUGUGGCAUUUAUUCCAUUCGUCUCAUAGAACUUUUGUUAUUUUAGUUUGGAAUGUCCGAAAAUGUAUAUUCAAUUCGACAGUUAAUAACGAAAAUAUACAACUUUUCUCUUUUAGCCUUUUUUUUAUAAAUUAUUUAAGUAAUAUCAACCAAAACAAAAAAUUAAAUGUAAUAAUUACAGGGAUAAAAUUGGAGAGUCAAUAAAAAUUAAAUGUAAUAAUUAUAUUCCCUUAAAAAGGUUAACUCCCCGAAAUCACACUUCCGUUUGAGGUGGACGGAGUAGAUGUUAAAACUUGAAUGUUAUGUUUUGUUUAUACUGUGUUUAUGUUAUCGGUCUUAACAAUGAGGAUGAUAUUUUUGUCACACAUUAAUCUAAUAAUUAAUUCAAAAAAAAUAGAGAAAAGUUUGGGGACCUCGCAUAGAAUUAAAAGUGCGAGAAAAAAAUUGCAAUGUUUAGAGUAAAUUUCAAAAUAGUCCCUAUAAUUUUUUUUAACAUUGAUUUUGGUUCUUAUAUUUUUAAAUCCCAUGAUUUUAACCUUGUAUUUUAAUUUACAUGCCUAAUCAAUUUAAUUGAUAACCAAAGUUAAGUUGUUGGACAUAUUUUCAAUACAUUUUGAACAUAUGACUUCAUUUGAUGGCAAUUUAUAGUUGGAUUUAUCAAAUUAUAAUAGAAUUUAAGCAAUUUACAGUGAGAAUAGGAAAAAAGUUGAUUUUAUCACUCAAAUGAUGGUACAUGUCGGCCAAUAGUGAAAAUUCAUCCAAAAACAUAACAUUCAUGACCAAUUGGCUUAAUUAGGUGAGAAAAUCAAAAUAUAAAAUUAAAACCGCGGAAUUUUAAAAUACAUGGAUCAAAAUCUUGAAUGAAUAAAACUACAAUGACCGUUUUUGAAAUUUAAUCAUAUUUUAAGAUUCAAUUUGACGAAAUGUUUUUUUCAAAAUUUAUUUGGUUGAUGAUUGAGAACAUGCUCUCUAUGAAUUUCUCGAGAAAAACUCAUUUAUUAGCAAAAAUUAAAAUAGUAUUUAGUGACGGCAUAUAGAAUUAAGAGGGUGAGAGAAAAAAUGGCAAUGUU
rnacentral:lncRNA from 1 species